UAGCAUGAUAGAGGUGCGGGCGCGAAGAGUAUGCCUCCUGGAAACCCAGGCUGGUGGGAGGGAGAAAGGCGUGUCUGCCGAGGUUUUUCAGAGGGGGCCUGUCCUUCUGGGAAGCCGGGCUGUGGGAUAAGAUCCCUCAGACUGUCGCCCCAAGGGGGCGGAGGGCUGUCGUGGUU
rfam:Firmicutes bacterium CAG:114 genomic scaffold, scf209